AUGGCGGUCCGAAACACAUACUUUUCAUUUUCGAACGGGUGAAUGUACUAUCACUUUGGAAGACGUCUAUAUUUUACUCGGCUUACCUUUUGGAGGACAAAUUGUUACGGCUCCUCCAA
rnacentral:pre_miRNA from 1 species